GUGAGUAACCGAACUGGGUGUUCCUGGGGGAUGCAGAGACCCAGGGCCUCUGGCCAGUAGUGGAGAGUGGAGUCCUUCUGUAGAGGAAGCUGAUUGCUGCAGGCCAGGCUUACUGUUCAGUUUGUUUGUUUGUUUGUUUGUUUGGGUUUUUGGUUUGGUUUGGUUUGGUUUGGUUUUUUGAGACAGGGUUUCUCUGCGUAGCCCUGGCUGUCCUGGAACUCACUCUGUAGGCCAGGCUGGCCUCGAACUCAGAAAUCUACCUGCCUCUGCCUCCCAAGUGCUGGGAUUAAAGGCGUGUGCCACCACGCCUGGCAUGGUGCUUACCACUCUUAAUGUUGGUUGUAUGAGCUCUCUGUUGCCGAGACAAAGUAAGUACAUGAGAAAAACAAAAGCGCCAAGAGUUGCUUUUGUUCAGAAAAACAGAGAGGUUGUUUAGCCUUUGCUUUGGUGCAGAGAUGCUGCUAAAUGUCAUAGUAGAGAGUCCACUGGAGAGAGGGUGUGGCCAUGGCAGGGAGGGAGCAGAAGAGCAGGGUCCAGUGUGUAGCUCCAGUGGUGGCCCACUCAACCCCAGAGGCUUCAGCACACAUUCAGCAGGCCUCAUGGUUCCUUCCCCUUUGGGUGGUCCCCUCUCCUCCCAGAAGUUUCUGCCACCUCCCAAUAGCGCCACCUGCUGGAGACCAAGCAUCAGCACAAGCUUCUAGAGACAGAGUUUCUUGGUUUUUUUGUUUUGUUUUGUUUUAUUGGGGUUUUUUUUCUUGGUAUUUCGUUCGAGACAGGGUUUCUGUAUAGCCCUGGCUGUCCUGG
rnacentral:lncRNA from 1 species